GUGAGCUCGAUGAGUAGGGCGGGACACGUGGUAUCCUGUCUGAAUAUGGGGGGACCAUCCUCCAAGGCUAAAUACUCCUGACUGACCGAUAGUGAACCAGUACCGUGAGGGAAAGGCGAAAAGAACCCCGGCGAGGGGAGUGAAAAAGAACCUGAAACCGUGUACGUACAAGCAGUGGGAGCCUCUUUUAUGGGGUGACUGCGUACCUUUUGUAUAAUGGGUCAGCGACUUAUAUUCUGUAGCAAGGUUAACCGAAUAGGGGAGCCGAAGGGAAACCGAGUCUUAACUGGGCGUUAAGUUGCAGGGUAUAGACCCGAAACCCGGUGAUCUAGCCAUGGGCAGGUUGAAGGUUGGGUAACACUAACUGGAGGACCGAACCGACUAAUGUUGAAAAAUUAGCGGAUGACUUGUGGCUGGGGGUGAAAGGCCAAUCAAACCGGGAGAUAGCUGGUUCUCCCCGAAAGCUAUUUAGGUAGCGCCUCGUGAAUUCAUCUCCGGGGGUAGAGCACUGUUUCGGCAAGGGGGUCAUCCCGACUUACCAACCCGAUGCAAACUGCGAAUACCGGAGAAUGUUAUCACGGGAGACACACGGCGGGUGCUAACGUCCGUCGUGAAGAGGGAAACAACCCAGACCGCCAGCUAAGGUCCCAAAGUCAUGGUUAAGUGGGAAACGAUGUGGGAAGGCCCAGACAGCCAGGAUGUUGGCUUAGAAGCAGCCAUCAUUUAAAGAAAGCGUAAUAGCUCACUGGUCGAGUCGGCCUGCGCGGAAGAUGUAACGGGGCUAAACCAUGCACCGAAGCUGCGGCAGCGACGCUUAUGCGUUGUUGGGUAGGGGAGCGUUCUGUAAGCCUGUGAAGGUGUACUGUGAGGUAUGCUGGAGGUAUCAGAAGUGCGAAUGCUGACAUAAGUAACGAUAAAGCGGGUGAAAAGCCCGCUCGCCGGAAGACCAAGGGUUCCUGUCCAACGUUAAUCGGGGCAGGGUGAGUCGACCCCUAAGGCGAGGCCGAAAGGCGUAGUCGAUGGGAAACAGGUUAAUAUUCCUGUACUUGGUGUUACUGCGAAGGGGGGACGGAGAAGGCUAUGUUGGCCGGGCGACGGUUGUCCCGGUUUAAGCGUGUAGGCUGGUUUUCCAGGCAAAUCCGGAAAAUCAAGGCUGAGGCGUGAUGACGAGGCACUACGGUGCUGAAGCAACAAAUGCCCUGCUUCCAGGAAAAGCCUCUAAGCAUCAGGUAACAUCAAAUCGUACCCCAAACCGACACAGGUGGUCAGGUAGAGAAUACCAAGGCGCUUGAGAGAACUCGGGUGAAGGAACUAGGCAAAAUGGUGCCGUAACUUCGGGAGAAGGCACGCUGAUAUGUAGGUGAAGCGACUUGCUCGUGGAGCUGAAAUCAGUCGAAGAUACCAGCUGGCUGCAACUGUUUAUUAAAAACACAGCACUGUGCAAACACGAAAGUGGACGUAUACGGUGUGACGCCUGCCCGGUGCCGGAAGGUUAAUUGAUGGGGUUAGCGGUAACGCGAAGCUCUUGAUCGAAGCCCCGGUAAACGGCGGCCGUAACUAUAACGGUCCUAAGGUAGCGAAAUUCCUUGUCGGGUAAGUUCCGACCUGCACGAAUGGCGUAAUGAUGGCCAGGCUGUCUCCACCCGAGACUCAGUGAAAUUGAACUCGCUGUGAAGAUGCAGUGUACCCGCGGCAAGACGGAAAGACCCCGUGAACCUUUACUAUAGCUUGACACUGAACAUUGAGCCUUGAUGUGUAGGAUAGGUGGGAGGCUUUGAAGUGUGGACGCCAGUCUGCAUGGAGCCGACCUUGAAAUACCACCCUUUAAUGUUUGAUGUUCUAACGUUGGCCCCUGAUCGGGGUUGCGGACAGUGUCUGGUGGGUAGUUUGACUGGGGCGGUCUCCUCCUAAAGAGUAACGGAGGAGCACGAAGGUUGGCUAAUCCUGGUCGGACAUCAGGAGGUUAGUGCAAUGGCAUAAGCCAGCUUGACUGCGAGCGUGACGGCGCGAGCAGGUGCGAAAGCAGGUCAUAGUGAUCCGGUGGUUCUGAAUGGAAGGGCCAUCGCUCAACGGAUAAAAGGUACUCCGGGGAUAACAGGCUGAUACCGCCCAAGAGUUCAUAUCGACGGCGGUGUUUGGCACCUCGAUGUCGGCUCAUCACAUCCUGGGGCUGAAGUAGGUCCCAAGGGUAUGGCUGUUCGCCAUUUAAAGUGGUACGCGAGCUGGGUUUAGAACGUCGUGAGACAGUUCGGUCCCUAUCUGCCGUGGGCGCUGGAGAACUGAGGGGGGCUGCUCCUAGUACGAGAGGACCGGAGUGGACGCAUCACUGGUGUUCGGGUUGUCAUGCCAAUGGCACUGCCCGGUAGCUAAAUGCGGAAGAGAUAAGUGCUGAAAGCAUCUAAGCACGAAACUUGCCCCGA
rnacentral:rRNA from 1 species